AAAUUGAAGAGUUUGAUCAUGGCUCAGAUUGAACGCUGGCGGCAGGCCUAACACAUGCAAGUCGAACGGUAGCACAGAGAGCUUGCUCUCGGGUGACGAGUGGCGGACGGGUGAGUAAUGUCUGGGAAACUGCCUGAUGGAGGGGGAUAACUACUGGAAACGGUGGCUAAUACCGCAUAACGUCGCAAGACCAAAGAGGGGGACCUUCGGGCCUCUUGCCAUCAGAUGUGCCCAGAUGGGAUUAGCUUGUUGGUGAGGUAACGGCUCACCAAGGCGACGAUCCCUAGCUGGUCUGAGAGGAUGACCAGCCACACUGGAACUGAGACACGGUCCAGACUCCUACGGGAGGCAGCAGUGGGGAAUAUUGCACAAUGGGCGCAAGCCUGAUGCAGCCAUGCCGCGUGUAUGAAGAAGGCCUUCGGGUUGUAAAGUACUUUCAGCGGGGAGGAAGGUGUUGCGGUUAAUAACCGCAGCAAUUGACGUUACCCGCAGAAGAAGCACCGGCUAACUCCGUGCCAGCAGCCGCGGUAAUACGGAGGGUGCAAGCGUUAAUCGGAAUUACUGGGCGUAAAGCGCACGCAGGCGGUCUGUCAAGUCGGAUGUGAAAUCCCCGGGCUCAACCUGGGAACUGCAUUCGAAACUGGCAGGCUUGAGUCUUGUAGAGGGGGGUAGAAUUCCAGGUGUAGCGGUGAAAUGCGUAGAGAUCUGGAGGAAUACCGGUGGCGAAGGCGGCCCCCUGGACAAAGACUGACGCUCAGGUGCGAAAGCGUGGGGAGCAAACAGGAUUAGAUACCCUGGUAGUCCACGCCGUAAACGAUGUCUACUUGGAGGUUGUGCCCUUGAGGCGUGGCUUCCGGAGCUAACGCGUUAAGUAGACCGCCUGGGGAGUACGGCCGCAAGGUUAAAACUCAAAUGAAUUGACGGGGGCCCGCACAAGCGGUGGAGCAUGUGGUUUAAUUCGAUGCAACGCGAAGAACCUUACCUGGUCUUGACAUCCACAGAACUUUCCAGAGAUGGACUGGUGCCUUCGGGAACUGUGAGACAGGUGCUGCAUGGCUGUCGUCAGCUCGUGUUGUGAAAUGUUGGGUUAAGUCCCGCAACGAGCGCAACCCUUAUCCUUUGUUGCCAGCGAUUAGGUCGGGAACUCAAAGGAGACUGCCAGUGAUAAACUGGAGGAAGGUGGGGAUGACGUCAAGUCAUCAUGGCCCUUACGACCAGGGCUACACACGUGCUACAAUGGCGCAUACAAAGAGAAGCGACCUCGCGAGAGCAAGCGGACCUCAUAAAGUGCGUCGUAGUCCGGAUUGGAGUCUGCAACUCGACUCCAUGAAGUCGGAAUCGCUAGUAAUCGUGGAUCAGAAUGCCACGGUGAAUACGUUCCCGGGCCUUGUACACACCGCCCGUCACACCAUGGGAGUGGGUUGCAAAAGAAGUAGGUAGCUUAACCUUCGGGAGGGCGCUUACCACUUUGUGAUUCAUGACUGGGGUGAAGUCGUAACAAGGUAACCGUAGGGGAACCUGCGGUUGGAUCACCUCCUUA
rnacentral:rRNA from 1 species